rnacentral:rRNA from 1 species
AUUGAACGCUGGCGGAAUGCUUUACACAUGCGAGUCGAACGGCAGCACGGACUUCGGUCUGGUGGCGAGUGGCGAACGGGUGAGUAAUGUAUCGGAACGUGCCCAGUCGUGGGGGAUAACGUAGUGAAAAUUACGCUAAUACCGCAUACGAUCUAUGGAUGAAAGCGGGGGAUCGCAAGACCUCGCGCGAUUGGAGCGGCCGAUAUCAGAUUAGGUAGUUGGUGGGGUAAAGGCCGACAAAGCCAACGAUCUGUAGCUGGUCUGAGAGGACGACCAGCCACACUGGAACGGAGACACGGUCCAGACUCCUACGGGAGGCAGCAGUGGGGAAUUUUGGACAAUGGGCAAAAGCCUGAUCCAGCCAUUCCGCGUGCAGGAUGAAGGCCCUCGGGUUGUAAACUGCUUUUGUACAGAACGAAAAGGUUUCUACUAAUACUAGGAGCUCAUGACGGUACUGUAAGAAUAAGCACCGGCUAACUACGUGCCAGCAGCCGCCGUAA